rnacentral:sRNA from 1 species
AAAACUGUUACCUGCUCCAUCGCACGUAACAGGAACCGGGGCUAAAGGUAACGAAGCCCCG